AUUUUUUGCACAGUAGAAAAUGAAAAAAAUAUUAGCAAGGAAACAGAGCAUGGCCCCUGCGCAAGGAUGACACGCAAAAUCGUGAAGCGUUCCUUAUUUUU
rfam:Ciona savignyi cont_52095, whole genome shotgun sequence.